rnacentral:rRNA from 1 species
GACGAACGCUGGCGGCGCGCCUAACACAUGCAAGUCGAACGGAGCUGAGAGAAGCUUGCUUUUCUUAGCUUAGUGGCGAACGGGUGAGUAACGCGUGAGUAACCUGCCCUGGAGUGGGGGACAACAGUUGGAAACGACUGCUAAUACCGCAUAAGCCCACGAUCCGGCAUCGGAUUGAGGGAAAAGGAUUUAUUCGCUUCAGGAUGGACUCGCGUCCAAUUAGCUAGUUGGUGAGGUAACGGCCCACCAAGGCGACGAUUGGUAGCCGGACUGAGAGGUUGGCCGCCCAGAGGGGAACGGAGACCCGGCCCAGACCCCAACGGGGGGAAGCGGGGGGGGUUAUGGAACAGGGGGGAAACCCUGAAGACGCCGGCCCGGGGGGGAGAAAAAGGUUUUUCGAUUGGAAAACCCCUGUGUUAGGGGAAGAAAAGGAGGUAACCUAACAAGAAAGCCCCGGCAAACCAGGGG